rfam:Haemonchus contortus, ISE/inbred ISE, WGS project CAVP01000000 data, contig: Hcontortus_31856
GACCCAAAUUUGAAGUAGAGUAGGGUAGUAGGAUCACCUGAUCCUAUUGAUCUUCUUUACUUCAAAUCUGUGGCC